AAAAUAUGUAGUGUUGAGAUUAUAAUCUAUUAAAAUUUUAAAAGACAUAUUCCCCGUGCAUGAAGGAGAUAGAGAGGGUUCGAAGGAGGAAGUCAAACCUCUGCGUUUGCGGCGGUGGUCUAAGUUCAAAUUAAGGAGGUGGCCAGCAUGAAGGAGAUGGAUCUGAGGGGGGAUCUGGGGCUCUUCCGACAGCCAAUCAGUGGAUGACUCCAUAUGCUUUAAAUUAAGUAGUGCACAAGUGUGUCACCCUAUGGGCAAAAACUAGGCAAGGCUUCAAAUUUUGUUGAAUAGAGAUGUGAGUAUCCUACUAAUUUUUAGUUUUUAGAUGAUAACUACCUUUAUUUUUUUCCUUUACUCUUUUGUGAUGUUCAAGGAAUAUAACUAUGAAGCUGAUGUUCAAGCAAAUAUGGGCAUGAAUCUCCGAGGCAGUUUCCUAUUUGGCUCAAGAAUGUUUGGGGUUAUGGUUCGGGAACUGCAUCCUUAUACAUGUCACAUCCAUGGUGGGAAGCAAGCCUUAACACAGUUAAUGAGCUGAAUGGAAAGGGAAUGUGGGUAAGGAGAAUGAAUCAUAUAAAAUUUCCUUAUUUUCAUUCACCAAUUUAUGGUCUUUGCUCUUGCUAUCUCAUUUCUUGCUGAUAAAUUUAUAGCUACUGAUUUGUGUUGAUUUUGGAUCUUAGAAUUAUGAAUCUGAUGCAAAUAAGUAACUUUUCCAGCAUGUGGUUCAUUCUCCUUUUCUUCUCCAUUUUGUUACUGCAAUUCUUGAUCUGAUGUGGAAUGGGGUUAGUAUAUAAGAUUAGGGCAGAAUGAACAGUUAUGGGUUCAUAUAAUGAGGAUAUGGACUUUGCUGAGCUCUAUGGACAUCACUUCUCAUCCCAAUCUUAGGUAAGGGAAGAAAUUUAUUAUAGCCUUCACGCAUUCUGAUUGCUUAGUAUAAAAAAAUUAUUAACUCUUAUCCGGGUUUUAUGGACUUGCCUGUCUGCUGCUCACCUUUUUUUUUGGUAAUUCAAUUGUUUUCCGCUACCUAAACAUUAUUUCAUUGUUCCUCUCAAUUUGUUUUGUCCAUCUCACAUGUGCAAUGUAAGCUCUUGCUUGGUUUGCAACUUGGUUUUGUAUUUUUUUUCUAUAACAGAUGCAUCAUUUUGCACAAUUUAAGAUCCUUCCCGAUGAUGUAGAGUAAAAGAAAGACAUUGAUGCUCUCAACUACCAAAGAAGCAUGACGAUAAUUGAUGAUCUGUGAUAGAUUUGCAAGAAAAGGAGCAUGAGUUCUACACCAAGGAUAGUAUAAAAGGUGUUAUUCUAAAUACAGUUGGUGGCUACUAUACAGCUUUAAGGGACCACACUUCUUGAUAAAUGGUGGCAAAAAAGAGCAUGCAAAGAUCAAUGUUUGCUGUAAUGAUGUUUCAAGGUGUUGUCACCUAUGUAUAAGUAAAUUUUAAAAUCUUCUUUUUAACUUUAGAGAUUUGUUUAUGCAUAUGUA